AUGUCCGUAUUUUGCUGGGGUUUAGGGGGAAAGGAUUUGGGGUCUCCGUAGCGGGGUCCAGUCCUGCCACAGAAGUCAUCUCAGAGGAGGAUGCGGAGGCGGGAGCAGGGUUUAGAGGCUGGCUCGAGAAAGGCUCUGCAAGCUGAAGUUUAAAAUCCACCGCAGCUCAGUUUCCCUGCAUCCCGGACCCCCUCCGUCCCACACACCACCUUCAGUGGGGCCUGGCACCAAGAAACAAAGGUUCUCCAGCAGCAGUGCGGUUGAGAUUCCCUGCGCCUCUUCUCUGCGGCGCAACACAGAAGGAAAACAUUCCAACAUUACCCGGUCACCAGCGCUUCGCCUGGACUCUGGGAAAACGUCAAUGGGUGUUUUGUG